rnacentral:rRNA from 1 species
UGAGGAAUAUUGGUCAAUGGACGCAAGUCUGAACCAGCCAAGUAGCGUGCAGGAUGACGGCCCUAUGGGUUGUAAACUGCUUUUAUAUGGGGAUAAAGUGGGGAACGUGUUCCCUUUUGCAGGUACCAUAUGAAUAAGGACCGGCUAAUUCCGUGCCAGCAGCCGCGGUAAUACGGAAGGUUCGGGCGUUAUCCGGAUUUAUUGGGUUUAAAGGGAGCGUAGGCCGUUUGGUAAGCGUGUUGUGAAAUUUACCGGCUCAACCGGUGGCUUGCAGCGCGAACUGGUCGACUUGAGUAUGCAGGAAGUAGGCGGAAUUCAUGGUGUAGCGGUGAAAUGCUUAGAUAUCAUGACGAACUCCGAUUGCGCAGGCAGCUUACUGUAGCAUAACUGACGCUGAUGCUCGAAAGUGCGGGUAUCAAACAGG